GGGACUAAUGAUGACGUCACUGAGACCUGCCAUGGCCUAAUACCUAAACAGUUUUCCUUACACUGAUCAGAUUUGGAGUGCCCUUUCCAGAUGGGAGGGUAGCGUUAUUGUCCUCUGCAACGCUCCACCAAGCAGCCGACUGACACAGAAGCAGAGGCACAGGGCUUGAUAUCAGAUGGAGCUCAGUGAGUCUCAUUGAAAAGCUGAGGGAAGGACUGAGAGAGGCAGAGUUGCACAAUGGUCUUCACGUGGUGUCACUAACCCGUCGCCUGUCUGUGGAUCCUGUUCUCCUACCCGGGCUGCGUUUUCAAGAGCUGGUUGAUGGAUCUUUCUCUUUUCCUAAGAAAAGGCCACUCUGGUUCUCAACUCACUCUUGAAGCCGUGACAGGAGACAUUCACAUCUCAUUCCUUAAGGACUAUACAAAAGGUUUGCUCAAAGGUAAAAUCCAUAUUUUGGGAUAUACUUAUUAUUGAAAAAUUACAUAGAUAAACCCAAUCCAUAUUUUAUCUUCUGUCCCUCUACCUAUAAUAAAUCUUUAUUAACUUUGAUAAAAAUAAAAAAGUGUUUCUACUCCAUUACUGACAACUGACAGAAAGAGAGGAAGACUGAGUAUUACAUACUAAUUUACACCGAUACACACAUAUUCUCAAUAAAAUCCGUGCGAACAGAUUCAAGAAGACACUAAAAAUAAAAA